UACGUAGGGGGCUAGCGUUGUCCGGAAUCAUUGGGCGUAAAGCGCGCGUAGGCGGCCCAGUAAGUCCGUUGUAAAAGUCAAAGGCUCAACCUUUGAAAGCCGAUGGAUACUGCUGGGCUAGAGUCCGGAAGAGGCGAGUGGAAUUCCUGGUGUAGCGGUGGAAUGCGCAGAUAUCAGGAAGAACACCCGAGCGAAGGCGGCUCUCGUGGGA
rnacentral:rRNA from 1 species